rnacentral:rRNA from 1 species
GAUGAACGCUGGCGGCGUGCCUAAUACAUGCAAGUCGAGCGAACAGACGAGGAGCUUGCUCCUCUGACGUUAGCGGCGGACGGGUGAGUAACACGUGGAUAACCUACCUAUAAGACUGGGAUAACUUCGGGAAACCGGAGCUAAUACCGGAUAAUAUAUUGAACCGCAUGGUUCAAUAGUGAAAGACGGUUUUGCUGUCACUUAUAGAUGGAUCCGCGCCGCAUUAGCUAGUUGGUAAGGUAACGGCUUACCAAGGCGACGAUGCGUAGCCGACCUGAGAGGGUGAUCGGCCACACUGGAACUGGAACACGGUCCAGACUCCUACGAGAGGCAGCAGUAGGGAAUCUUCCGCAAUGGGCGAAAGCCUGACGGAGCAACGCCGCGUGAGUGAUGAAGGUCUUCGGAUCGUAAAACUCUGUUAUUAGGGAAGAACAAAUGUGUAAGUAACUAUGCACGUCUUGACGGUACCUAAUCAGAAAGCCACGGCUAACUACGUG